GGAAACCUUGGUGAAUAGAUUGGGAGAGAGAUAUUGAGAUUGAAUCUUCGAAUCUUCUUUAUCACAAUGUUCAUAUAAGAUUAUAUAUUAAUUUUCCAUCGCAGUAAGGACAGUAGAAAUUGUUUUAUUUAAAAAAAAGAAUAUUACGCCUCUAAAAUAGUUUUAUAAUUUGAUAACAGAUGGCGCUCUAGUACAUCGUAAGAUUAUAUAUGUUUAAAUACAGAAUAAAUAUAAAUAUGAAUAAAUAAGAUUAUAUAAUGAUAAAUAUAUGAAUAGAGAGAGAGAUAGAAUCGUUUUUUCGCCUAAAAAGAGGAAUAACUGUGUAAAUGGUAUCCCACGUGGUCUAGUGGCUAGGAUAUCUAGCUUUCACCCAGAAGGCCCAGGUUCGAUUCCCGGCGUGGGAAUUUUUUUUCCGGGUAGUUGGCGAUUUCCAGGAGACCGGGUUAUCUCUAUUUUCCCCCUGGGCCGCAGUGAUAAAGGUAAAGAUAAAAAAUUGAAAAAAAGGAGUAACUUCCCGAAGGUGAGAAUAAAAAAAUAAAAGUGGGCGUUGAUGCUCGAACAGUGAAUAAAAAUAAUCUAACUAUUUGCUUAAGUUCGUCUGUUGGGAAGGCCACAGCCAAGAAGCGUUUGUAGUUGAUAUAGAAUCAAGAAAUAAAAAAGUCAACGAAUAGUAACGAUCACUCUAGAAAG